UACAGGGGGGCAAGCGUUGUUCGGAAUUACUGGGCGUAAAGCGCAUGUAGGCGGCGAUUCAAGUCGGGGGUGAAAUCCCAGGGCUCAACCCUGGAACUGCCUUCGAUACUGUUUUGCUAGAGUAUGGAAGAGGUUGGUGGAACUGCAAGUGUAGAGGUGAAAUUCGUAGAUAUUUGCAAGAACACCAGUGGCGAAGGCGGCCAACUGGUCCAUCACUGACGCUGAGAUGCGAAAGCGUGGGGAGCAAACAGG
rnacentral:rRNA from 1 species